rnacentral:rRNA from 1 species
UAGGAUUCCCUCAAUAAUGGCGAAUGAACAGGGAUUAGCUCAGCAUGGAAAUCGGGGCCUCUGGCCUUGAAUUGUAGUCUCGAGAAGUAUCGCCAACGGAGGCGCAGAUGUAAGCCUCUUGGAAAAGAGCAUCAACGAGGGUGAGAGUCCCGUUUGUCAUCUGCAGUCCCCCGUGCACGGUGUACUUUCUAAAGAGUCACGUUCCUCGGGAUUGGAGCGCAAAGUGGGUGGUAAAUUUCAUCUAAAGCUAAAUAUAGGUUCGAGACCGAUAGCAAACAAGUACCAUGAGGGAAAGGUGAAAAGGACUUUGAAAAGAGAGUUAAAAGUGCCUGAAAUUGCUGAAAGGGAAGCGAAUGGAACCAGUGCUUCUUGGCAAGAUUGGUGCGUGCUAAUGUGAUUGCCUGCUUCCUCAGCGCAAGCGUGGCUGUGGGUUUUGAUCAGGACGCGCGUGUUGUUUCUUGCCUUGUGUGUCAUCGUCAGUUCUCAAUCGAGGAAAACGCCAGGGACAUGGUAGUUUGCCCAUGGGUGAGCGAAUGUGCUUGGUUGAACUCAUUUGUGAACUGGUUCUUGCGUGUCUGGUUGCAGUGCUCUGUGUCCCCAUGACUCUUUGGUGGGCUUGCCCUCCUUGGAUGGAGUGGGUGACCAGGACAUCUCCCUGACACAACGACGUUGACUAAAUGGUUCUAUUCGACCCGUCUUGAAACACGGACCAAGGAGUCUAACAUAUGUGCGAGUUCACGGGCGGGUAAACCUGCUUGCGCAAUGAAAGUGACUGCUGGGAUCUUUGCACCAGCAACCGACCAAUCAAUUGAGAGAGGUUUGAGUAUGAGCAUAUCUGUUAGGACCCGAAAGAUGGUGAA